CCUACGGGAGGCAGCAGUGAGGAAUAUUGGUCAAUGGCCGGAAGGCUGAACCAGCCAAGCCGCGUGAAGGACGAAGGUGCCAAGCAUUGUAAACUUCUUUUGUCAAGGCACAAAAUCAGGCUCUACAGCCUGACCGAGGGUCCUUGAAGAAAAAGCAUCGGCUAACUCCGUGCCAGCAGCCGCGGUAAUACGGGGGAUGCGAGCGUUAUCCGGAUUUAUUGGGUUAACAGGGUGCGUAGGGGGACUGUUAAUUCACUGGUAAAAUCCCGGGGCGCACCCCCGGCGAGCCGUUGAAACUGGCUGUCUUGAGAUGUCGAGAGGUAUGCGGAAUGCGCAGUGUAGCGGUGAAAUGCUUAGAUAUUGCGCAGAACUCCGAUUGCGAAGGCAGCAUACCGGCGGCGAUCUGACGCUGAGGCACGAAAGCGUGGGUAUCGAACAGGAUUAGAUACCCGUGUAGUC
rnacentral:rRNA from 1 species